GACGUAGGUGGCGAACGUUAUCCGGAAUUAUUGGGCGUAAAGGGUGCGUAGGCGGCAUGAUAAGUUAUUGGCGGCAAAUCGAGGCUCAACCUCGUGGAAACUGAUAAUACUGUCUUGCUUGAGCGCAGAAGAGGUUAACGGAACUCCAUGUGGAGCGGUAAAAUGUGUAGAUAUAUGGAAGAACAUCAAUAACGGCGAAGGCAGUUAACUAUUCUGUUACUGACGUUGAGGCACGAAAGCGUGGGGAGCAAAACAG
rnacentral:rRNA from 1 species